CGUUGCGUUGCAGUUUAUUGAGCUCGAACGAGAAGUGCGACGAAGAAGGCCGUUAUACGUUAAUAAUUCUUUUAAAGAAUACGGGUCAGAUAUGGACAACGACCUCGAAGACAUUUGCAGUAGGCUAAACAGAGAAAGAGAGGGAGAACCAAAACUACCUGUCCUGGCAUCACACUUGAGGAGGAGAUGAAGUCGGUGAAUAUGACCUAGCCCGGGGGAGUUUCCAGAAGAAGGCCCAGAACCGCCGACCGCCAGGAGUGGAGGUCCUUCGUGGUUGCCCUACGUGCCAGGCGGCAUCAGGCAGUAGAUGAUGUAAGUUGAAAUGGAAGGUGUCCUGAAUCUGCACCCAGUCAUCUGGUUUCGUAACACCUUUCAUAGCGCCAUUGGAACCUGCUCCCUACCAGUAUAACAUCGAACAGAUUGGAAGAAUAACGGCCAAUGGGAAGUGCCUUUUUUACCCCUACUUGCCACACAGCAGUCUGUGGUAGUGUGGUUUAGCGCAAUCUAAACUGGAUUAUUGUAGCUCUUCGUGCUUGAAUUAGGGCGAUCUGGACCGACUGCAGAUAGUACAGAAUGCUGCACCUAUUGUGCCAUUUGCCAUACACCCACUUCGCUGGCUGAAAGUCAAGGAAAGGAUGUACAUGAACAUCAGUGUCCGUCUACUGAUUUUCAAAGUCAAUGACAGGGAUCCAGAUUACAUGUAUUAAAAGGAAUGCCUUGUGCGUCAUUUUCGUUUAGGCGCACUUGCCUUUUUAUUUUUGUGAUCCUUAGUCUACCAUGCACCUACAAAUUAGCUACUGGUGAUGAAACUUUCUCCACUACUGCUCCAAGGCCAUGGAAUUAGCUCCAUCCUCUCCUCCAAUUUUUGACAACCUUGGAUCAAUAUCAUUUGAGAAGACCUACCACAUUCCUGAUCAUCUUUGCUCUGGACUUGGAACAACACUGUCACUGCCUGGUAAUUUGAAUUCUUUUAAAUCUCAUGUGCUGACUAGGAUGGCAUCUCAAAGUGCUUUGUAUCUCACAAAACAGUGUGUUGUGUAAAAGAGAACAAGCAUUGAGGUCAAGCAUAAGGGUAACCAUGGAUAUGGCCUUUGAUUACUUUUUAACAAAACUGAAAAAUUCAUGAAAAUAGGACAAGGGAUAAUUAAGUAAUGUAUGACAUUCUAAGCUCUGCAUUAUUUUGGUGAAAGACCUCUAAGCAUAUGCAAGUAGCCUGCUGAUGAUGUCAUACAGACGUACACGUACAUGUAUCCCCAACUUAUUAUUUUGUAUAUAAAAUGGUGUAUUUAAAUUGGAUUGUAAAUUGCAUUGAUGUGACUUACCUGUAUUGAUUAUUGCUGGAAGUUCUUUUGCUACAUGGGAUUGGAAGACAUACUUAUUACACACAUGAAAUAAUUACUAUUUCAUCUGGUAACAGAACAAUAAAAAUGUGGGCAUGAUAUCAUAAACUUAUCUACUUGCAUGUGUUAAUUACCAAUAUUUUUGUAAUUAUUUUUUAUCUGAUUUUGAUAAAAUUUUCACUAUUUUGCAUGGUAAAUAUUACUUUAUUUAUCAUAGAUAUAGUUAUGUUGAGCCCGGAUAUACAAGUACCCCUUUAAAGAUAAAUUACCAGUUGUAGUAACAAUCUUAAAAUUAGUUCGAACAGAAUCCAAAUAUAGCUCGAGAAGAAAAUGCGUAAUUGCUGAGAAAUGAGCAAAAUAAGCAUGUAAAUCUAUCAAAUGUCAGGUAUUUUUCGAUCAAUUAUAUUACACUGUCCUGUCUCACAUAUGUUUUUCUGUGUUAGUGAUCAUCAGAAUUAUUGAUUUUAAAGAUAAAUUCCAGUUCUGGUAACGAUCUCAAAAUGACUUUUUACAGAAUCUAAUAUAAUGACCACCCAAGUGUCUGUAUGAAUAAAAAAUAUGUGCCAAAGGAUUCUGGAAGAAAUUGUGUAAUUGCUGAGAAAUAAGCAAAAUAAGCGCGGAUUCGGUCACUUCCGUCGGGUCUUUAUUCCAGAAAUAAUAAUACACUUUCCCACGUGUGCCUAUCUGUGUUGGUGAUCUUCAGUUUGAACCUUCUUAGCGUAGAUUUCAAGAUUUCACAAAGUUCAGUUUAUGUAACUGUACCAGGGGUCCGUUUCAUAACGCUGUUCGUAAGUUAAGAGCGACUUUAAGAACGACUGGUGAUCCUUUCUUACGCGCUAAACCAUCGCCAAUGAACAUUUUGUUAUAUACUCUACCACAAGAAAUGAUCACCAGUCGUUCUUAAAGUCGCUCUUAACUUACGAACAGCUUUAUGAAACACCCACCAGAUCUAGAUCCUCGAUUAUAUACUGACAAUUAAGCCUGGUUUUACAGACUUUCUCAUGAAAUCAGUGUUUACUGCAACUACUGGCAUUUCUCUUUAAGUUCAAAAUUCAUGAUUUUACAAAGAUACAAGUUUACAUUAAUGUACCAGAUCUAGAUCAUGUACAAUAUUUUGACAAUUAACCUUAAUUUAAAAGACUUUCUCAAGAAAUAAUUGUUUGCUGCAACUACUGUCAUUUACCCCUAAGUGAUAAUGUAAUACAAUCACAAACUUUUCAUAAGAAUUAAUGUACAUGUAUAAUUCUUAAACCCAAAUGCAAGCUUCCAUAAAUCCUGAAAUCAAUGCAACUCAGGUAUUUUUUUUUUACAUAUAGUAUAUUUUUACCUACAUUACAUAGAUCUCUAAAGUUGAAGGUAUAUUUAAUUACAAUUUCAACAAAAAAGCUAUAUUCUUGGAGAUCAUUAUUAUUCAUAAUGCCUCUGUUAUGUAUUAAUGUAUUAUGUAUUGGUAUAACAAACAUUGUAAUUAUUUCAUUCCUUUGACUCUAAUACUGCAUUUUCAUAGAAAAGUGUUUUAUUUUUAUCCAUUUCUUUUCCUUUUUGUGCUGGUAAUAUCAUGUUAUGCAACUUUUAUUUAUUAAUAGAAUAUUUGUCAUGAUUUCCUAAUUGAAAUGCGUACACGUAUUUGAUUUUGUUUUCCAUUUUUGUAUAUAUUCUUUUUCUGGGGGGGGGGGUCAUGUUCUUGAGACUGAGUCAACUUAUGCAAGGCCCUGGCAUGGAGGAUCAUUAUAUUGUUACUGGGAAUGCUGGACAUUGUCAGACCACCUCAGUAUUCACCAACAAUAGAUAAUCCUCCAUGACAAGGUCUUUGAAGUGGUGUGUGUACAUUACAUGUAGAAUUUAAUUUAAAUGUUUAUGUCAUCACGUCAGAAUACGUUAAAAUAUCAUAGUUGACUCCAAAAGACGUCAUAUUCAUUUCAAUAUGCGACGUCAAUAUGACGUCUCUUACUAGUCAGCAAUAUGUUACAAAGUCGUCAUUCAGACGUCGUAGUUGACUUAUAAAGACGUCAUAAUUACAGCAAUAUGACGUCUGAAACUGGUCAGGAAUAGGUUACAAAGUUGUCAUUAAGACGUCGUAGUUGACUUUUAAAGACGUCAUAAUUACAUCAAUAUGACGUCUAAAACCGGUCAGGAAUAGGUUGCACGGACGUCAUUACGACGUCGUAGUCGACUCUCGAAGACGUCAUAAUCACGUCAAUACACGACGUCAAGCUGACCCUUGAUACUGGUCAGGAAAACGUUGUAAAAACGUUGCAAAGACGUCAUUAAGACGUCGUAGUCAAUCUUGGAGACGUCAUAAUGACGUCAAUAUACGACGUCAUAAUGACGUUAUUCGCGGGUGCAAGAUCCCGUCAAUAAGACGUCCUGUUUUGACGUCAACAUGACGUGACACUCGUCGUUAAACUGACGUAAUUAUGACGUCAUUUUUACCAGUUUCUGCUAUCAGGGUAUAUAUUGAGCGAGUUUUACAACACUUGACAAAUUAUGGUUAACAAUUAUUCAACCCUAAAACAUUUUUCUAAAAUUAAUGUCAUGAUUAUGACUAAUAUGAUAUAUAAACUACACAUUUUUCUGAAAAUUUUCUGGGUGGAAUAAUUGCAUAAACAUAAACACAUUAAUUAUUACAGCUAUAUUAGCUAAAAUUUUGGCCAUUUAUUGUAGUAAUGAAUAUUCAUGAGUAACUAAUAUUCCCAGCAUUUUCCUGAUAUUACCAUCUGAUAUUACUCCAUUUACCCAAUAUUAAUGGGUUCCGCAUGGGUUGGAGGUCUCGUUUCCAUCUGAGUCCUAUCUGGGCACCAUGUGGGUUCAAGUAUAUGUUUUCAUCUGGGUUCCAUGUGGGCCCAUAUGGGACCCAGAUAUCCCAGAUAAGAACCGUAUGUGAUCCAGAUACUUUGCUGUCUGGGAAUGGAAGCGCUUCAACAUUACCCAUUACCCCUUAUCAACCUGUUUGUAACUGGGUAAAAUGUUGGUUUCAUCAGGGUGAUAACAGUAAUUUUUUGGACUUUGACAAUUUUGCUGGGAUUGCUGUAAGAUUACUGUUAUUACUAAAGUUUGCAAUGUUAUAACCAAUCAAAGUCAUUCAUCAUUACCCUUAUUACCCAUCGUCACCCUGUUGUAACUCGGUAAAUGUCGGUUUCAUCAGGGUGAUAACAGUAACAGGUAUCAACAGGAAUUAUAAUUUCGGUAAUAGCAUGGUAAUAACGGUAAUAUUUGGUGUUACUCAAAUUUCCAGGUGAUAUUACCGGUAAUAACCGGUAAAAUUGGUAAUCGGUAACAAAUUGCCCAGUGGGAAGUUUUAAUUGCAGCAUAUAUGCAAUUUUUUAAUGCACUUUAUUAGUAAUUGUGAUCCAAUAUUUUUGGUUCUUGAAGGAAAAAAAUUGAGUAAAACCUCAUUUCAUAUAAUAAAAUAAAAGAGAACAAGGGUGGAUAUAUGACAUCAUCAGUUUGCUAAUUGAAUAUUCAUUUCAUGAAGACCUGCCUAGAACUGUUUCACCGGAAUAAUGAAAAUCUUUAAAGGAGAAUGAAACCCUUGAAACCAGCUGAAUCCAUAUCAAAGAGAAAAAUCAAAGAAACAUAUUGUUGAAAGUUUGAGGAAGAUUGAAUGAAUAAUAAGAAAGUUAUGAGUAUUUGAAUAUUGAGAUCACUAUAAUGCCAUGUAGUUCCUCCCAUUGGCAAUACGACCAAGAUCUGUGAUGUCACACACGUACAACUCCCUCAUUACUUUAGUACUUAUUUCACUUAUAUUCUCACUUUUAUAGAGUCUAUCACAAGGUGAGGUGUUCUCUUUAUGAGAGGACAAGUACAGAGGUUUCACAACAUUAUAUCAUUGAUGAAUCGAUUGUCAUAUGAUUAGAAUGAGCAAAAAGAGAUGUUUUGGGGUAUAUUUUCAGAGGAAUUUCAGUGUCCAAAAGGGGAGAGUUGUUCAUCUGUGACAUCAUAGAUCUUGGCCGCAUUGUCAAUGGGAGGAUCUCCAUAGCAUUAGUGAUCUCGACAUUCAAAUGCCCAUAACUCUUCUAUUGCUAGUCCUAUUUUACUCAAACUUUUGUUGAUCUUAUUCUUUGAUUUUUCUGCUUUCACAAAAGCUAACUUGCUCCAAGGGUUUCA